UACGUAGGGCGCAAGCGUUGUCCGGAAUUAUUGGGCGUAAAGAGCUCGUAGGUGGUUUGUUGCGUCUGCCGUGAAAACCCGAGGCUUAACCUCGUGGCUUGCGGUGGAUACGGGCAGACUUGAGGUAGGUAGGGGAGAAUGGAAUUCCCGGUGUAGCGGUGAAAUGCGCAGAUAUCGGGAGGAACACCGGUGGCGAAGGCGGUCUGCUGGGCAGUUGCUGACACUGAUGCGCGACAGCGUGGGGAGCAAACAGG
rnacentral:rRNA from 1 species